rnacentral:rRNA from 1 species
AUGAACGCUAGCUACAGGCUUAACACAUGCAAGUCGAGGGGCAGCAUGGUCUUAGCUUGCUAAGGCCGAUGGCGACCGGCGCACGGGUGAGUAACACGUAUCCAACCUGCCGUCUACUCUUGGACAGCCUUCUGAAAGGAAGAUUAAUACAAGAUGGCAUCAUGAGUCCGCAUGUUCACAUGAUUAAAGGUAUUCCGGUAGACGAUGGGGAUGCGUUCCAUUAGAUAGUAGGCGGGGUAACGGCCCACCUAGUCUUCGAUGGAUAGGGGUUCUGAGAGGAAGGUCCCCCACAUUGGAACUGAGACACGGUCCAAACUCCUACGGGAGGCAGCAGUGAGGAAUAUUGGUCAAUGGGCGAGAGCCUGAACCAGCCAAGUAGCGUGAAGGAUGACUGCCCUAUGGGUUGUAAACUUCUUUUAUAAAGGAAUAAAGUCGGGUAUGCAUACCCGUUUGCAUGUACUUUAUGAAUAAGGAUCGGCUAACUCCGUGCCAGCAGCCGCGGUAAUACGGAGGAUCCGAGCGUUAUCCGGAUUUAUUGGGUUUAAAGGGAGCGUAGAUGGAUGUUUAAGUCAGUUGUGAAAGUUUGCGGCUCAACCGUAAAAUUGCAGUUGAUACUGGAUAUCUUGAGUGCAGUUGAGGCAGGCGGAAUUCGUGGUGUAGCGGUGAAAUGCUUAGAUAUCACGAAGAACUCCGAUUGCGAAGGCAGCCUGCUAAGCUGCAACUGACAUUGAGGCUCGAAAGUGUGGGUAUCAAACAGGAUUAGAUACCCUGGUAGUCCACACGGUAAACGAUGAAUACUCGCUGUUUGCGAUAUACUGCAAGCGGCCAAGCGAAAGCGUUAAGUAUUCCACCUGGGGAGUACGCCGGCAACGGUGAAACUCAAAGGAAUUGACGGGGGCCCGCACAAGCGGAGGAACAUGUGGUUUAAUUCGAUGAUACGCGAGGAACCUUACCCGGGCUUAAAUUGCAGAUGAAUUACGGUGAAAGCCGUAAGCCGCAAGGCAUCUGUGAAGGUGCUGCAUGGUUGUCGUCAGCUCGUGUCGUGAGAUGUUGGGUUAAGUCCCGCAACGAGCGCAACCCUUAUCUUCAGUUACUAACAGGUCAUGCUGAGGACUCUGGAGAGACUGCCGUCGUAAGAUGUGAGGAAGGUGGGGAUGACGUCAAAUCAGCACGGCCCUUACGUCCGGGGCUACACACGUGUUACAAUGGGGGGUACAGAGGGCCGCUACCACGCGAGUGGAUGCCAAUCCCCAAAACCUCUCUCAGUUCGGACUGGAGUCUGCAACCCGACUCCACGAAGCUGGAUUCGCUAGUAAUCGCGCAUCAGCCACGGCGCGGUGAAUACGUUCCCGGGCCUUGUACACACCGCCCGUCAAGCCAUGGGAGCCGGGGGUACCUGAAGUGCGUAACCGCGAGGAGCGCCCUAGGGUAAAACUGGUGACUGGGGCU